rnacentral:rRNA from 1 species
UACGGAGGAUGCAAGCGUUAUCCGGAAUGAUUGGGCGUAAAGCGUCCGCAGGUGGCUAUGCAAGUCUGCUGUCAAAGCCUGGGGCUUAACCCUAGAGAGGCAGUGGAAACUGUAGAGCUAGAGAACGGUAGGGGCAGAGGGAAUUCCCAGUGUAGCGGUGAAAUGCGUAGAGAUUGGGAAGAACACCAGUGGCGAAAGCGCUCUGCUAGGCCGGGUCUGACACUCAGGGACGAAAGCUAGGGGAGCGAAUGGG